rnacentral:rRNA from 1 species
CAGUAGCCGCGGGAAUACAGAGGGUGCAAGCGUUAAUCGGAUUUACUGGGCGUAAAGGGCGCGUAGGUGGUUAUUUAAGUGAGAUGUGAAAGCCCCGGGCUUAACCUGGGAACUGCAUCUUAUACUGGGUAACUGGAGUGCAGUAGAGGGUAGUGGAAUUUCCGGUGUAGCGGUGAAAUGCGUAGAUAUCGGAAGGAACACCAGUGGCGAAGGCGGCUACCUGGACUGAGACUGACACUGAGGCGCGAGAGCGUGGGGAGCAAACAGGAUUAGAGACCCGCGUAGUCCCUGUCUCUUAUAC